rnacentral:rRNA from 1 species
AUUGAACGCUGGCGGCAUGCUUUACACAUGCAAGUCGAACGGGUCCUUCGGGACUAGUGGCGGACGGGUGAGUAACGCGUGGGAACGUGCCCUUUGCUACGGAAUAGCCCCGGGAAACUGGGAGUAAUGCCGUAUAAGCCCUACGGGGGAAAGAUUUAUCGGCAAAGGAUCGGCCCGAGUUGGAGUAGGAAGUUGGUGGGGUAAUGGCCUACCAAGCCGACGAUCCAUAGCUGGUUUGAGAGGAUGAUCAGCCACACUGGGACUGAGACACGGCCCAGACUCCUACGGGAGGCAGCAGUGGGGAAUCUUAGACAAUGGGGGAAACCCUGAUCUAGCCAUGCCGCGUGAUCGAUGAAGGCCUUAGGGUUGUAAAGAUCUUUCAGGUGGGAAGAUAAUGACUGUACCACCAGAAGAAGCCCCGGCUAACUCCGUGCCAGCCGCCGCAGUAA